rnacentral:rRNA from 1 species
CUCCCUACGGGGCGCAGCAGUGGGGGAUAUUGGACAAUGGGGGAAACCCUGAUCCAGCGAUGCCGCGUGAGGGAAGAAGGUUUUCGGAUUGUAAACCUCUGUGGAGGGGGACGAUAAUGACGGUACCCCUUUAGGAAGCCACGGCUAACUACGUGCCAGCAGCCGCGGUAAUACGUAGGGGGCAAGCGUUAUCCGGAUUUACUGGGUGUAAAGGGAGCGUAGACGGUUGUAUAAGUCUGGAGUGAAAGCCCGGGGCCCAACCCCGGGACUGCUUUGGAAACUGUGUAACUUGAGUACAGGAGGGG